AACUGGGAUUACCUUAGUAACGGCGAGUGAAGCGGUAAAAGCUCAAAUUUGAAAUCUGGUACUUUCAGUGCCCGAGUUGUAAUUUGUAGAAUUUGUCUUUGAUUAGGUCCUUGUCUAUGUUCCUUGGAACAGGACGUCAUAGAGGGUGAGAAUCCCGUUUGGCGAGGAUACCUUUUCUCUGUAAGACUUUUUCGAAGAGUCGAGUUGUUUGGGAAUGCAGCUCAAAGUGGGUGGUAAAUUCCAUCUAAAGCUAAAUAUUGGCGAGAGACCGAUAGCGAACAAGUACAGUGAUGGAAAGAUGAAAAGAACUUUGAAAAGAGAGUGAAAAAGUACGUGAAAUUGUUGAAAGGGAAGGGCAUUUGAUCAGACAUGGUGUUUUUUUAAUGUACAAGUCUCUCGUGGACAUGUGCCUCUGGAAAUUAACACUGGGCCAACAUCAAUUCUGGCAGCAGGAUAAAUCAUUAAGAAUGUAGCUACCUCGGUAGUGUUAUAGCUUUUUGGAAUACUGCUAGCUGGGAUUGAGGACUGCGCUUCGGCAAGGAUGUUGG
rnacentral:rRNA from 1 species